rnacentral:tRNA from 1 species
GACAUCAUGGUGCAGUGGUUUGAGCACUGGACUAUGACUUUGGAGACUAGGGUUCAAAUCCCAGGUUGGUCA